UACGAAGGGGGCUAGCGUUGCUCGGAAUUACUGGGCGUAAAGCGCACGUAGGCGGCUUUCUAAGUCGGGGGUGAAAUCCUGGAGCUCAACUCCAGAACUGCCUUCGAUACUGGAGCUUGAGUCCGGGAGAGGUGAGUGGAACUGCGAGUGUAGAGGUGAAAUUCGUAGAUAUUCGCAAGAACACCAGUGGCGAAGGCGGCUCACUGGCCCGGUACUGACGCUGAGGUG
rnacentral:rRNA from 1 species